AAAGAAAAAAGCCGCUUUAGUUUGUUUACAACCGUGGAAUGUUUCACUUCACGACCGCGUUUUCAAAAUUCCGAUUUCGGCAUUCGAAACUUCUUUUCCAUUUUUGUUCUUGUUUCGCUCAAAAUUCGUUGCUUUUUGAAUCAAUUGGAAAUGGACGGAAUGAAUCUUUACAACCAGGCGUAUUACGAAGCCUUGUUAAACAACGAACGUGAAACCGAAAGGUGGAAAUCCUACAGAGCGGAACACGAAGAGCUCAAAGACAAUUUGAAAAUGUACAGCAAAGAGCUGAAAGUCGAUAUCUUGAUUCCGGUGGGGUCGAAAGCUCUCAUUCCGGGCCAGCUUUAUCACACCGGGGAAGUAAUGGCAAGCCACGGAUCAGGUUACUUUUCCGACUGUUCGAUAGAGCAAGCCAACCGGAUCAUUGACCACCGGAUUUCAACCGCAAACGAGGUUCUGCGGAAGUACGAGAAGGAAAGGGACAUGUUCACCAGUAAGGUGGAGAUUCCCUUCGCGGAAGAUGCUUUCAGUGGCCAAGAAAUCAUUGAAGAGUACGAUGAAGCCCAAGAGGAAGUUUGGCGCAAGGAACACCGGAUACGAUCCCGAGAAUCUAAACUGCGAGAAGCUCAAGAACGGAACAAAAGCGUGGUUUCGGAAACGGAUCAAUCGUUAAUGGAUCGCUUGGAAGAGCUAGAACUGAUGGAGGAAUUGGAACAAGAAAUGGAUAGUCUGGAGAUUCCGGUUAAAACAGAUGAACAGUUGCGGAAGUUGAUGAGUGGGGAGAUAAAGUUACCCACAAAGCCAAGAGUUGCCCAUGGAAAAAAGACAAAUGGUAUAGAUAAGUUACCUCACGAGGAAUCGGAAAAAUCUGUGGUAGAAUUCGAAAACGAACAAGUCGAAAUUGAAACCACUGAUGAUGAGGAGGAAAGUUCGGAUGAGUCUGAAGAGGAAGAUUCUUCUGUGGAAUUCGUGAAACUUUUACAAGACACAAAGGCCAUGAAUAAAAAGGACAAAGUGCAAGCGUUCAAGAAUAAACUCAAUGAAAUCAGUACAAGACUUCAGAAGGAAGGCAUUAGCAUCGAUGAAAAGGUUAGCCUUUGUGAUUUGCGAUACGAAGUGGAAGAGGCUCUUGAUUUCCUCCAUCCUUCCUGGGAGAACUCAACCGUUGAUACAAAAGAAGGCUCAGUUUCUAAGAAAACAAAGUCUAUUAAGUUUGCUGACAGUGACAGUGUGAAGAUUAUAGAUGAUAACGUCGAAAUGGAAGAAAGUAGUGUGACCUCCAAUGAUGAUUCCCGCAAAACAUUACAACUCAAAAUUGUUCACUCGCCGGAUGGUGGUUCUCCAGCUCCCAAAGAUGAUGAUCAAGAGUCUAUUGGCAGUCCGGCAGAUAUCUAUCGUUUGUUCGAACAUUGCCUGCGAAAAGAACUUCCUCUAUCGUCGCCGGUGGGGAAGAAAUCGAUUCUCAAAAAUCGCGAAAUGGUUUUGGCGGAAACUCAUAUGACGGAAUCUCAACCGGCAAUUGUUAGGAAACCUCGCGAAAAGCCAGAGAUUGCACCGGUAGAUAUAAUGGGUGACGUAGUGGAACACAAACCCGAAACUAGUUCACAAACUACUGUGACCCAACCAUCGACAAUCGUUGGCCAAAAGAAGGUUAGUCGCUUUAGGCAGCAGAGACAGUAAAUCUUCCACAUCUAAGCUUCUUCCAAGAGUGCUUCUUUGAAACCUAAAAUGAUAGAUGCCAUUCGAUUUUGCGAGGUUUCAGUGUGGCCAAUCAUGUAGUCCCAGCCUGUGAACAGUUUCCAUGCAAACACAUAUUCAUCAUCUUUUGAUGACAGCUUCGACAUCCAACACGAUACACUGAAACAAACUGGUAUAUGUCGCGGAUGUAGGAAGAAUACGAGCACACAAUACUGAUUUUAACGCGUUGGUUUACGGUAAAUAUUGCACUUGUUUGUCACUUUGCUUUCUAGUACAUCAAAACUCAUGGGUCAACACCCAUCUAGCCCGAUACACACCAAACAACUGACUGACUGUCUGGAUAUCUUUGAAUGGAAUCGACAAUGUUCUCAGUAUUUGUGUUUGUGGUGCUUGCUGCUGUGUAUUCAUUCAAUAUCAUGAUUAGAUCGCACUUUUAAUGCCAUCGGUUAAAGUAUGUUUCUUCGAGCAUUCGUUAAAAGGGUAUACAAGAUAUGGCACUUCAAAAUAGUUGAAUAUUAUUCGAUUUAUCCUCUCUA